rnacentral:lncRNA from 1 species
GGUUUAUUUCAUAAGGGAAGAAAAAGAAUCUAGCUCUGUGGCUAGGAUAGGCAGUGACUUUACUAGCUAAGACUGGGACUCAGGAAAGAAGCAGAGCUCUUCCAUGUGCUCCAUUUCCUACCUGAGCAAGCUGUGCCUGCCUCAGAGGAGGGUUUCCAUUUGUAGCAUUAAGCGAUUAUCAAAUAGCAUAAAACAAAUAGCUCAUGGGAAUCUAUCCUACUCCAGAAGGCCGUGGGAGAACAUCCCAGGAAGGGCCAUUUGGCCAUGGGGUGAAGAAUGACUUCAUAUUAGCCAAGGAAGAUAUGAAGUGUUCUUUUGUGAUUAAAAUGCUACCCGUGGUGCUCCUGCAUUUUUGUUCUUGGUGCUGCCUCCCCCAACCUCUUUCUGGCUUUUCCUCUAGGCCUUCUGUUCCAGAAUCUCUUCUGCAUCUAGGGAGGCAGUGGGUUGAGAUUGUCAUGGUAACUACUGUUUAUUACCCAGUUGUGUUUACUAGUCUCUUUUGCAGCCUUCAGGCCCAGAAAAUGAACACUAAGCUUGGGUAAGUUGUCUUAGUCAGUACUUAGUCCUUGACAGAAACCUGCUGGGGUUUCAGAGUACAGCAGCCUUUGUGUGCUAUUGCACAUUCUAAAUAUUCGAAACUAAUUGUUUUUUAGAUUACAAAAUGUUUACUGUCUGGAGAGAUGACUCCGUGGUUAGGAGCACUUACUGCUUGUACACAGCCCCCAAGUCUGGGUCUCACCACCCACAUGACUCACAGCCACCUAUAACCGAAGUUCCAGGGAGUCUGAUGGGCUCUUCUAACCCCCACAGGUACCAGAAACACCCAUGGUACACAUACAAACAUGCAACAAAAACAUACAGCCAUAUACAGAAAAUAACAUUUUAAAGCAUGUUUUCUAGUCAGGGCAAUGUACUGUUGCUCCCUUCAUUUGGUCACCCGCAUGUUCUUGUGGUACACACAAGGUUUAAGAGUGAUUAUAGAAAAACGUAAAAUACAUCAGUAGAAAACAGAAAAUGAAAGUGUAAAUCAGGACAGAAAAAAAAGCAUAAAGGGAAUCUAGAAAUGUCCCAGGUGUAUUGUGACUUUAAAAUAAUUCUGUGUCUUGCAAAUUCACAAACUAUUCAGCCAAACUCAUAAAUGAAGCACAAGUAAUCUGCUAACCAUGCAGUCAAAUUGCACAGCUUACAAUGAGAUUCUUCUCAACCAAGAGCAUGUUUAGUGGAAAGAAAUGUAUGGCAGAGUAACAGUUUGAAAAAAAAAAAAAAAAA